CUGAAAGGGGCACAAUUAAAUAAAAUUACACCAUACAAGGUUUUUUUUUUCUUUUUUUGGGGGGGUUUUUUUGAGACAGGGUUUCUAUGUAUAGCUUUGCACCUUUCCUGGAACUCGCUCUGUAGCCCAGGCUGGCCUCGAACUCACAGAGAUCCGCCUGCCUCUCUGCCUCUGCCUCCCAAGUGCUAGGUUUAAAGGCAUGCGCCACCACCGCCCGGCUACCAUACAAGGUUUUAAGCCAACAAUUCAGUUUUCUCAAAUAAACCUACAUGUUCAAGUGUUCCACUCAAUAAGUUUAAUUCGUUGGUCUAACAUUUAUUCUAUUUUUUUGGAUGUGAUGUUAUCAUAUAAAACUAAAUUAAGCUAUGAUACAAUACAGCAUAACUAUGAUACAACAGACUCACCAGUUUAAAUAUCCUACAGGGAGGGACACUAACUUUCGGCAAGAGUGACAGUGUCUCGAUGGUAAAGUUAAAAAGAUGAGUGUCAUUUGAAGACAGCCUGAAAAAUGCGUUCACGGCAGCAACCACAUGAAUGGGGACAAGCCAGCCAGAUCCAGUAGCAGGUAAGAGAAAUGAAGAGACCCCAGACUACGGACAGAACAACCUGUGUGUGAACCAGUGACCCUCAAGCUCCAGGGAAGUACUUUUUAUGUGUUUUAAAACAUCCUUUAAUUAUGCUGUCAAAAGCUCAAAUUUUACCUUGUAUUUCAGACCAAUACGAGCCACACAAAUGUGACAUUUUAGCAGCAGACAAUGUAGUUUCUCCUUACUUGGACCACAGUGCUAUAAAUAUUUUUUUUUUAUAACAUUUCUCAAUGGAGAUGAAGGCAGGAACCUACUAAUAUAAUGUUAGAGCAGCAAAUACUGACGUCCAUUUUAUCUAAGGUGAGAUGAACACCUUUAAGUAGUGUGGCUAUUUGUCAUAACUACAUUUGCAUAAUUCUAGGGUCAAAAUAACUUUGAGCUAACCAAACAAGUUAGAAGACUACGGGAAACCAAUUUUUGCAUAAUGAAACAAAAAUGAUUUUUAAAUGACGGAGUACCCAGUAUCGAUUUAAUAGUGUGGGAAGACAUUAAAACUAAUGAUAAGCCUACCUUCAGUGACUAAAUCUUCUCCUGGGAACUGAAGUUACAUCACAGCGGGAAUUUAACCAGGCAAGGAAAAGAGCUGUGUCACAGUGGUUCAGCACUGGUAAACUGGACACCAGCCAAAGAGUCCUCCAUGGGAUGCUGGGACUGUGCAGAGCUGAUGUGUGAAGAGCUACCUAUUGACAGAAAAGGAUGCUCCUCAUGUAUUAAGUGGAUGUGAAGGACAGUAAUGGUGUAUGCACGACCUGUCCUCUCAUAAGCACAAUCCCCCUCCCCACGUGCCCUCACCCCAGAAAAUCUGGUCAGAGAAUCACUAAGGAUAGUAAACACGUGGGAUCAGGAAGCCCCCUACUCUUUUUGCUUCCUGUAUUGGGACUAUUUUGUUUGGGAAGAACAAAGUCAUUUACAUAAGUAGGGAAAAUUAAAAAUGUCCCAGAUAGUCUUGAGAAGAAGCAGAGUUGAGUUUGAAAAUGAACACUAGUGUCCCUCAGUUCAAGACAAACGAGGCUUAAGUACUGUGCCAUGUUCCAGUCAACCAAAUAAACAAAAAAGACUAGGACACUGAAAGUGAUAGACACAUUCUUCAAACAUUAAUGUUGAAACUUUUGUGAGAAUGCUUUCUCUGCUAACAAUGCAUCGACCAGAAUAUGUAACCCGCACAUGAAUGGAGGCCACGCCAUCCCCUCAGGCAGUCAAACCAGAACCUCAGCAGAGGUUUAUUUACCUGUCAACAUUUGGUGGAGAAGGAAAGGGGCACCAGGGGAGGUGGGUGAGUGAACAGAGUGCACACCGUCUGUGUUCCCCAUCAACCAACCUGCACCCCGGCAGGAACACUUGCUGCCGCGGAAGAGGGGGAUGGGCACAGAGGUGGAAAGCCCACAGGAAGGCCCAGACCUCAACGUCCACAGAACUGGAAGCUAGCUACUGUGUCGACAGAGCAGAGGCUCCAGAACACCCAGUCACAGCCUGCUGAGGAGAAGGCUCCUUCAACCCAGCUCCUAACACUAGCAUCUGCAUCACACACUACACAGUCCUGUAUUUACUGACAUCUCUAUAACCAUCAUUUCUUCUCGGCCCCAUAGCGGCCCUCUCACCUAAUGACCCUAUUCAUCAUUCUUCCUCAUUUAGUACAUUCUCCAGGGGCUCAGCGAUUACACUCGAGAAGGAGAAAUAAACGGCGUCUAGGACACAAGGUCUGAGGUAACCAAAGGCGUAAAACUGAGACAGGAAGAAGGGAAUGGUGUCCAGAGUUACUUUGGAGGGGGAAUGAGAGGCCAAGGUGAUUGCUGAAAAGGGCUCUUAGCAUGCUGAGCCUGGCAGUACAGGCUGUAACCUCAGCUAUUUAGGAAGUUCCCUUAGAAGGACAGCAAGUUCAAAGUCAACGUGGGGUGCGGCAAGUUCAAGGCCUGCCUGGAACACUAGUGAGACCUCACCUGAAAAUAAAAAACAAA